rnacentral:tRNA from 1 species
GUGGAGAUGGCUUGGUGGGUAAAGUACUUGCCUCAAAAGCAUGAGGACCUGAGUUUGAAUCCCCAGUACCUGCA